GUGCUCACUUCAGCAGCACAUAAACUAAAACUGGAACAAUACAGAGAAGAUUAGCAUGGCUCCUGUGCAAAGAUGACAAGCAAAUCUAUGAAGCAUUCCAUACUUUU
rnacentral:snRNA from 1 species